ensembl:lncRNA
CUGCAGGGGAUCUUCCCCACCCAGGGAUCAAACUCUUGUCUCCUGCAUUAGCAGGGGGAUUCUUUACCACUGUGCCACCUGGGAAGCCCCCCAAAUUACCGUCUUUCAGGUCAGUCUAGAAAAGUGAGGACGCUGUUUCCAGACCCCGCAGCUGAGUUCAGGAAAGCAGAGGAAAAAGGAAGACACAGUAUCUGCAGAGUUGAAAGGGGAGAAUAGAAGAAUGAAGCUUCAACCAGUAAUAUAAGCUAUGUACUUUAAAAAAGAAGAAGAAGAAAAUCUGACUCUUCCAGUUUAAAAGAAGAAACACAGUAGAAAACAAACUUUGAAAAUUACAAAACCAUAAAUAUUGGGUCAGAAUAAGAAUCUGACGAGAAUCUUGGAAAAAAGCUGUAGCUAAGUUUGCUAUAAAAAGACUUGGUCCAUAGUUAUAUUUCAACACAGCAAUGUAUAUUUGAAAAAGACAAAAAUACUGUGAGAUUUUGAUGUCAGAAAUUUUACCUUUUUUUUAAAAGAAAUUGCCCAAGUGUAUAUUUUUAACAACAGAAGGAAAGGGAAGCCAACAAACCAUUUUAGAGUAUUUUUCAAAGUCACAUAAAAUUACGCUGUGACUCAGAUCUGUACAGAACACCAGAUGCUUCCUACCUAUAGCGAACAUCUGUAACUUUUUUGGUUGUUCACUCUGAGCUGUCUUUCUAUGCUUGGGGAAUUCCUCACCAUUUGAGUCUUAGCAAGAGACAGGGUCUGCCUUCCACUAUGCUGCUGCUGCUGCUGCUAAGUCACUUCAGUCGUGUCCGACUCUGUGUGACCCCAUAGACGGCAGCCCACCAGGCUCCCC